UUUCCGUAGGUGAACCUGCGGAAGGAUCAUUACAGAGUUCAUGCCCUUCGGGGGUAGAUCUCCCACCCUUGUGUAUCAUUAUAGAAUGUUGCUUUGGCGGGCCGCGCCUCGUGCGCCUAGAUUCGCGUCUAGCGUGCCCGCCAGAGGACCCCUAAACUCUGAAUGUUAGUGUCGUCCGAGUACUAUUAAAUAGUUAAAACUUUCAACAACGGAUCUCUUGGUUCUGGCAUCGAUGAAGAACGCAGC
rnacentral:misc_RNA from 1 species